rnacentral:rRNA from 1 species
GGGGGACACCGGCCCCAAACUCCCUACGGAGGCAGCAGUAAGGAUCUCACAUGACGAAGGUCUGAUGAGCACGCGCGUGAGGGAGGAGGUUCGGCUCGUAAACUCUGUGUAAAGAAGAACAUAUCUGAGAGUAACUGUCAGGUAUGACGGUAUUUAACCCAGAAAGCACGGCUAACUACGUGCCAGCAGCCGCGGUAAUACGUAGGUGGCAAGCGUUGUCCGGAUUUAUUGGGCGUAAAGCGAGCGCAGGCGGUUUUUUAAGUCUGAUGUGAAAGCCUUCGGCUCAACCGAAGAAGUGCAUCGGAAACUGGGAGACUUGAGUGCAGAAGAGGACAGUGGAACUCCAUGUGUAGCGGUGAAAUGCGUAGAUAUAUGGAAGAACACCAGUGGCGAAGGCGGCUGUCUGGUCUGUAACUGACGCUGAGGCUCGAAAGUAUGGGUAGCAAACAGGAUUAGAUACCCUGGUAGUCCAUACCGUAAACGAUGAAUGCUAAGUGUUGGAGGGUUUCCGCCCUUCAGUGCUGCAGCUAACGCAUUAAGCAUUCCGCCUGGGGAGUACGGCCGCAAGGCUGAAACUCAAAGGAAUUGACGGGGGCCCGCACAAGCGGUGGAGCAUGUGGUUUAAUUCGAAGCUACGCGAAGAACCUUACCAGGUCUUGACAUACUAUGCAAAUCUAAGAGAUUAGACGUUCCCUUCGGGGACAUGGAUACAGGUGGUGCAUGGUUGUCGUCAGCUCGUGUCGUGAGAUGUUGGGUUAAGUCCCGCAACGAGCGCAACCCUUAUUAUCAGUUGCCAGCAUUAAGUUGGGCACUCUGGUGAGACUGCCGGUGACAAACCGGAGGAAGGUGGGGAUGACGUCAAAUCAUCAUGCCCCUUAUGACCUGGGCUACACACGUGCUACAAUGGAUGGUACAACGAGUUGCGAACUCGCGAGAGUAAGCUAAUCUCUUAAAGCCAUUCUCAGUUCGGAUUGUAGGCUGCAACUCGCCUACAUGAAGUCGGAAUCGCUAGUAAUCGCGGAUCAGCAUGCCGCGGUGAAUACGUUCCCGGGCCUUGUACACACCGCCCGUCACACCAUGAGAGUUUGUAACACCCAAAGUCGGUGGGGUAACCUUUUAGGAACCAGCCGCCUAAGGUGGGACAGAUGAUAGGGUGUAGUCGAAACGAGUAGUGCAGG